CUACGGGAUGCACCAGUGGGGAAUAUUGCACAAUGGGGGAAACCCUGAUGCAGCGACGCCGCGUGAAGGAAGAAGUAUUUCGGUAUGUAAACUUCUAUCAGCAGGGAAGAAAAUGACGGUACCUGACUAAGAAGCCCCGGCUAACUACGUGCCAGCAGCCGCGGUAAUACGUAGGGGGCAAGCGUUAUCCGGAUUUACUGGGUGUAAAGGGAGCGUAGGCGGCAUGGUAAGUCUGGUGUGAAAGGCAGGGGCUCAACCCCUGGACUGCAUUGGAAACUAUCAAGCUAGAGUGCCGGAGAGGUAAGUGGAAUUCCUAGUGUAGCGGUGAAAUGCGUAGAUAUUAGGAGGAACACCAGUGGCGAAGGCGGCUUACUGGACGGUAACUGACGCUGAGGCUCGAAAGCGUGGGGAGCAAACAGGAUUAGAUACCCCAGUAGUC
rnacentral:rRNA from 1 species